UCCGAUAUGGUGUAGUGGCUAACAUUAUCGCCUCUCAAUUAUUCCUAUUAAAGAGUAUCUGAACAACGAAUGUUUCGUUCGUUUUCCCCACCUUUCCUCAACCAGGCUACAAAGUCGACGAUGAGAUCAUAGCCAGAGGUUCAAUUCCCCUUGUCGGAA